GGGAAUCAUCAAAUCUUUGAAAGAAAAGGGAAAGAGAGGAGGAGAGUAUGCCUGUGUGAGGGUCAGUAUUAAUAAAAAUCGGUGUGUUGCUUCUUUGGGAAGCUCCGGAGGGGGGGUCAUCUUAAUAUCCUUUAGGUUUUAAGAGGCUUAAAAUUGACUUUUUUUGCGCAUUUUAGAUGUACAUAAAUUCUUUUUUUUAUUCGUCUGUUUUAAGGCGAAAAAUCCUAUUAGAGGAGACCAGAGAGGGGGGUUUCGGGUCUAUAAAGGGGGUAUGAU
rnacentral:misc_RNA from 1 species